rnacentral:rRNA from 1 species
GAUGAACGCUGGCGGCGUGCCUAAUACAUGCAAGUCGAGCGGAUGGAAGGAAGCUUGCUUCCUAAAGUCAGCGGCGGACGGGUGAGUAACACGUGGGCAACCGGCCCCUAAGAUCGGGAUAACUUCGGGAAAACGGAGCUAAUACCGGAUAUGAUUAUGUCUCACAUGAGACAUAAUGGAAAGACGGUUUCGGCUGUCACUUAGGGAUGGGCCCGCGGCGCAUUAGCUAGUUGGGUAGGUAACGGCUCACCAAGGCGACGAUGCGUAGCCGACCUGAGAGGGCGAUCGGCCACACUGGGACUGAGACACGGCCCAGACUCCUACGGGAGGCAGCAGUAGGGAAUCUUCCGCAAUGGACGAAAGUCUGACGGAGCAACGCCGCGUGAGUGAAGAAGGUUUUCGGAUCGUAAAACUCUGUUGUUAGGGAAGAACAAGUACCAUAGUAACUGAUGGUACCUUGACGGUACCUAACCAGAAAGCCACGGCUAACUACGUGCCAGCAGCCGCCGUAACAC